rnacentral:rRNA from 1 species
GGUCAAGCUACAAAGGGCAAACGGUGGAUGCCUUGGCGUCGGGAGGCGAUGAAGGACGUGGCUAGCUGCGAUAAGCCUCGGGGAGCCGCUAAACAGGCUUUGAUCCGGGGAUUUCCGAAUGGGGCAACCCGCUCCGAUUAAUAUCGGGGCAUCUAUGGCUGAAUACAUAGGCCAUAGAGGCGAACGAGGGGAACUGAAACAUCUUAGUACCCUCAGGAAAAGAAAGCAAUAGCGAUUCCCUUAGUAGUGGCGAGCGAAACGGGAACAGCCUAAACCGUAGUUGCUUCGGCAAGUACGGGGUUGCGGGACCACAAUGUGGGAUGCGGAUAGUUAGUUGAACAGGCUGGAAAGCCUGGCCAUAGAGAGUGAUAGCCUCGUAAGCAAAAACUUGAAGCGCCCUAGUGGUAUCCCAAGUACCACGGGACACGGGAAAUCCUGUGGGAAUCCGGGAGGACCAUCUUCCAAGGCUAAAUACUACCCAGCGACCGAUAGUGGACAAGUACCGUGAGGGAAAGGUGAAAAGAACCCCUGCUAGGGGAG